rnacentral:ncRNA from 1 species
GCCUUACAGACAGCUAAAGACUGGCAACCGAUAGCGAGAAUCGGGUGGGGC